AACUAAACAUGACAUGGAUCCUAUUUCUUUCUUGUUUUCCACUUCCUGUAGCACAGCACUCUGAUUGUCAUCCAACCAGUGCUCUCCUAUUCAAAUGUGAGGGAAUGGCUACAAGCAAGUAUAUAAUGAUCCAGAAGCAGGCAAUGAGUGCCUAAUGGACAUAUUGAGUGGGCACAACAGCUCCAUGAGAGUUUGCAAUUAAUU